rnacentral:rRNA from 1 species
UACGGGGGGAGCAAGCGUUGUUCGGAUUUACUGGGCGUAAAGGGCGCGUAGGCGGCGUGACAAGUCACUUGUGAAAUCUCCGGGCUUAACCCGGAGCGGCCAAGUGAUACUGUCGUGCUAGAGUGCAGAAGGGGCAACUGGAAUUCUCGGUGUAGCGGUGAAAUGCGUAGAUAUCGAGAGGAACACCUGCGGCGAAGGCGGGUUGCUGGGCUGACACUGACGCUGAGGCGCGAAAGCCAGGGGAGCGAACGGG